ACAUGCAAGUCGAACGAGAAUCCCAGUGCUUGCAUUGGGAGGAGAGUGGCGAACGGGUGAGUAACACGUGGAUAAUCUGCCUUCAGGAUGGGGAUAACGAUUCGAAAGGGUAGCUAAUACCGAAUAAGAUAGCAGCUGUGCAGGCAGCAGCUAUUAAAGGAGGGGACCUUCGGGCCUUCCGCCUGAAGAUGAGUCCGCGUCCCAUUAGCUAGUUGGCAGGGUAAUGGCCUACCAAGGCUGUGAUGGGUAGCCGGCCUGAGAGGGUGAUCGGCCACAUUGGGACUGAGAUACGGCCCAAACUCCUACGGGAGGCAGCAGUUAAGAAUCUUGCGCAAUGGGCGAAAGCCUGACGCAGCGACGCCGCGUGGACGAUGAAGGCCUUAGGGUUGUAAAGUCCAUUAAGCAGGGAAGAAUAAACAUGUUAUAACAUGGCAUGUGAUGACGGUACCUGCUGAAAGCCUCGGCUAACUACGUGCCAGCAGCCGCGGUAACACGUAUGAGGUGAGCGUUGUUCGGAAUUAUUGGGCGUAAAGGGCGUGUAGGCGGGGAACUAAGUUAGAUGUGAAAGCCAUGGGCUCAACCCGUGAAUUGCAUCUAAUACUGGUUCUCUUGAGUUCGGGAGAGGUGAGCGGAAUUCCUGGUGUAGCGGUGAAAUGCGUAGAUAUCGGGAAGAACACCAGUGGCGAAGGCGGCUCACUGGCCUAGAACUGACGCUAAGGCGCGAAAGCGUGGGGAGCGAACGGGAUUAGAUACCCCGGUAGUCCAAGCCGUAAACGUUGCAUACUAGUGUUAAGUGGAUUUAUUCAUUAGUGCCGAAAGCUAACGCAUUAAGUAUACCUCCUUGGGAGUACACUCGCAAGGGUGAAAUUCAAAGAAAUUGACGGGGCCCGCACAAGCGUUGGAUCAUGUGGUGUAAUUCGAUUGAUACGCGAAGAACCUAACCUGGGCUUGAACUGUACUUGACAGGUGUAGAGAUACACCUUCCUUCGGGCAGGUAUAGAGUUGCUGCAUGGUUGUCGUCAGCUCGUGUCGUGAGAUGUUGGGUUAAGUUCCCGCAACGAGCGCAACCCUGUACUCCUUGUUGCUAACAGUUUAAUCUGAGCACUCUAGGGGGACUGCCGGUUAUAAACCGGAGGAAGGUGAGGAUGACGUCCAAUCAGCACGGGCCUUUAUGUCCAGGGCUACACACGUGAUACAAUGGUCGGUACAAAGAGCUGCGAGCCCGCGAGGUGGAGCUAAUCUCAAAAAACCGGCCUCAGUUCGGAUUGCAGUCUGCAACUCGACUGCAUGAAGGUGGAAUCGCUAGUAAUCGCAGAUCAGCACGCUGCGCUGAAUACGUUCCCGGGCAUUGUACACACCGCCCGUCACACCAUCCGAGUU
rnacentral:rRNA from 1 species